CAAAAAGCAGGGUUCCGUUGCCUCUUAAGAACGGAUCUCUCGUAAACUUCAGGGAAAUCACUGCAUUGUUUUUGGGUGAACCUCUGGACUUACAAGUGCCAAAAGGUUCAGUUAAUGAUGGAACAUUU